AGAGAGGGUGAGUCUCAGUCGCCACUCGGUCACCCUGCCGAACGGCUGGGGGUUCCAAGUUGUCGUUUAUUUAUUUGUUGUCGGUAUAAAAGCGCGAGAUAAAGGUGGUGAUCUCUAACGCGCUUAGAUCUCGGGGGAAACGCGCGAGACGCAUAUAUACGCCUAUAUCGUCCCUCUCUCUCUCUCUCUCUCUCUUUCCACCUUUCUCUCUCUCUCUCUCUCUCUCUCUCUCUUUCUCUUUCUUUCUAUCUCUCUCUCUCUCUCUCUGUCCUAUCUUUCAAUUUUUUUGAUUUCAUCCAUCUUUGCACCCACCCCCCUUCCCCCAAUAACCAUCUCACCUUCGUAAAUCGUGUUCGUGUUUUAAAAGAAAGAUAAAAAGAAACCCCUGUUCACGUACAAUCAUCUACCCAGCCACCCCUAAAUUAUACUUUGGAAUUUAUCGUCGAGUGAACACAGAUCAAGAAUAAGAAUAAGAAGAAGAAGAAGAAGAAGACGAGUAGUGUUAUCCUUUUCAUUAUUUUUCUUUCUAUUUCUUUCUUCUUUUUUUUGUUUUUUUUUUUGUUUUUUUUUUUCAUUUUGAUCGUAUACGUUCUCUUGUUACCGUUCGGUAACCGUCGUCGUGUGGACGCGUACCCGCAACCGGUCAGCGCGUGUGCACCCGACAACGAUCGAUCCUCACCCCGAUAGAGAUCCAGAGAGAAGAGAAACGAUGGACGGAACCACCCUUCCACGAGACGACGACGCCAGAUAAGAAGCAACCCAACAGGAUAAAUCCUUGUUUCUUUGUUUCUUCCUUCCUUCCUUCCUUUCUUUCUUUCUUUUCUUCUUUCUUUCUUUCUUUCUUUCUUUCUUUCUAUUUCUAUUUCUAUCUCUAUCUAUCUUGGUUGCUUCUUCGUUCCGGUACUUUAUCAACGAUUCGAGGAAUAUCUUCUUAUCACGGAAGAAGAAAGGAGAGAGAAAAAAGAAAAGAAGAAAAGAAAACGGGAUAUCGGGGAUCGAGUUUGCGAGGUUGUGUUGAAGAUUUCUGAAAUCUGGGAGGAUCGAAAAAGAAGAAGAACAGUCCUUUGAAAAUAGGCCGGACAAGGAUAAAAUAACUAAAACGAUAAGAGUAAAGUACAAGAAGCCAAAGAAGACGAAGAAAAAGAAGAAGAAGAAGAAGAAUAAAAAAAAAAAAGAUAAGAAAGAAAUAUAGUGUGUCAAUUAUCGAAUAAUAAUAGUACCAGCAGCAGUAACAGCAGUAACAGCAGCAGGAAAGAGUAGUAAAAGUUAAAUCGUUACGAUGUGAUCGUACGUUUAAGGUAAAAGA